AUGCUUGCUCUGGCAGCACAUAUACUAAAAUUGGAAUGAUACAGAGAAGAUUAACACGGCCCCUGCACAAGGAUUACACGCAAAUUUGUAAAGUGUUCCUUAUUUUU
rnacentral:snRNA from 1 species